GCACCAAGCAGGGGGAAAAACUCUUGGGGAAGGUCUGGGGAUUAUCAAGGCCUCGUUCCACCAAGAUCUCUGGUGGAACACACCACAGAAAGCCUUAAGCAUCCUCAGAUGACACAGAAAUUAAACACAAUGAUCAUCAAUGCACCAUGGGCCGGUCCAGCCCCUUGUUCUGACACCAUGGGGACAGGAACCAGGAAAGUUAAACCACAAGAAAAAUGUGAAGUGAGGCUUCCUGAGAAAACUCACUUUCCAAUCAUUUCCAGCUUCCUAAGCAAGAGAUGAAAGAAAGAAGCAAAGAACCAUGUGUUAAACAUCUUCAGUUCCAAUAUAAUGGAGAAUCUAACGUACAGAAGCAGCUUUUCCCCAUCUUUACACUGCUAUUAACAAUUCUCAUAAAUUCAGACUUUCAGAAGUGUAUAUAAAGCCAUGGACAUC